rnacentral:rRNA from 1 species
UAAGCCUGGGAAACUGGGUCUAAUACCGGAUAUGACUCCUCAUCGCAUGGUGGGGGGUGGAAAGCUUUUGUGGUUUUGGAUGGACUCGCGGCCUAUCAGCUUGUUGGUGAGGUAAUGGCUCACCAAGGCGACGACGGGUAGCCGGCCUGAGAGGGUGACCGGCCACACUGGGACUGAGACACGGCCCAGACUCCUACGGGAGGCAGCAGUGGGGAAUAUUGCACAAUGGGCGCAAGCCUGAUGCAGCGACGCCGCGUGAGGGAUGACGGCCUUCGGGUUGUAAACCUCUUUCAGUAGGGAAGAAGCGAAAGUGACGGUACCUGCAGAAGAAGCGCCGGCUAACUACGUGCCAGCAGCCGCGGUAAUACGUAGGGCGCAAGCGUUAUCCGGAAUUAUUGGGCGUAAAGAGCUCGUAGGCGGUUUGUCGCGUCUGCCGUGAAAGUCCGGGGCUCAACUCCGGAUCUGCGGUGGGUACGGGCAGACUAGAGUGAUGUAGGGGAGACUGGAAUUCCUGGUGUAGCGGUGAAAUGCGCAGAUAUCAGGAGGAACACCGAUGGCGAAGGCAGGUCUCUGGGCAUUAACUGACGCUGAGGAGCGAAAGCAUGGGGAGCGAACAGGAUUAGAUACCCUGGUAGUCCAUGCCGUAAACGUUGGGCACUAGGUGUGG